rnacentral:lncRNA from 1 species
CUUCAUUAAAAACUCUACUAAUAAAAUUAAUUAGUAAUCAUCACUUAUACAAAAUCCUUUUAUAAAAGAUACACCUUUAAUUUAAAUAAAACAACAACAAAUAAAUACUUUAUGAACCCUUCCCCGUGUCAUAACCAGAGCGGAGCUUUCACCAACAACUCGAACACCAACAAACAUACAACCUGAGAACCUUAACCACCAACGGUUCAACACAAACACAAAACAGAGGUUAGAUAACAUAAUUAUUAAAAGUGACUGAAUAUAACGCAUAUGAGACACUGAAUAAAAUAAAUACAAUUGAGUAAAUUCAACUCAUACAAUCACCACAUAUACAGACAUGUAUUAGACAUAUUCAUUUAUCAAUUACUCGUCACAUUUGAGAAGUAAAAACUCUCGAACAAAGAAAUGAAAUACACAAUGUCGAGUAACAUUUAACAUUUAAGAAUGUCACAUAAUUUCUAAUGCAUUUUAAUGUCACAUAGAUAUGAUGUCACCUAGACAUAUCUAUAUGCAUGUGGUAUCAAUUCAUCGUAAAUCUUGGAUAACUUAACCCAAGUGUUUUAGAUCAUCGUCUCUAAAACAUUAUAGAUCAUCGUCUAUAGAAUAACAGUAAACUAGAUCAUCGUCUCUAGGAUACUCAUCAAUAGACUCAACUUAUGAAUGCAUAAAAUGUGCAUCUACCAAACAUAUGGUUUUAUCGCAACUAUAACAUCAACAUAAUAUGGAUAAAAUAAUUCAAAUAUUCUAAAUCAUCAUCUUUAGAAUACCUCUACCCAUGAUAAAUCAUCAUUUAUCAUCAUCAAUAAAUCAACAUCAUAAUCAAUAACAUUAUGAAUCAUCACUAAUACAUCAUCACGUAAUCACACCAAUCUUCAAUAAGAUUUAUUUAUCAAUAAUUCACCAAUCAAAUCAUAAUACACUAUCAUUUAUCAGCAACAUGAUUAUCAUCAUCUAUCAACAACCUAAUCAUCAUCAUUAAUCAACAACAUAUUCAUUUACAAGACACUAAAGUCUCACACCAUCAAAGGUUCACCAAUUUCAAUUAAUUAUACGAAAGUUAUUUUAAAUUAAACUAAUGCCAAAAAUAUAGGCAACAUCAUUAUACAAGCAUAAUCUCAGAAAAUGGACUCCGAAACCGAAAUCUACGCAAAAAACCGAGCAAAAUAAGUUUCGAUAAAAAAAGUAGACAAAAAGUCAACGGUUACAAGUCAACAGGUAGCGUCGGCCAAUUUUCGACGCAAAGCUGCAGAAUUGCAGAAAAAACAUGUUUUGAAUACGGGAUUGUUCAAAAAUCACUUAUCUUUAAAACUACACAAAUUGAACUCAGCUUUAAGGAAAGUUUUGACAAGUGUUAAACUCACAGGCACUCAUAGCAAAUCUUUGCUGGACAAAAUGCCAAAAACUUUACUUCUUCUGGGCAAUAUUUUGAAUUGUUUUUCCCUCCUCUUCUGUUCUGCGAUUUUGGGCCAAAUACAUUGAGUCCAACACAAUCUGGCCCAGCAAUGCCCAUUCCUUGAAAGAAGAAAAGCUUCAGCCAAACAAAAAAAGACAAAGAAGCAGAAGAACCGUCCCUUUCACGACAGAUUUGCAAGCUAGAAUCCAAAAACUUCAAUUAGGUUGGAAUCAAUUUCAAAUUUCAAAUCCUCCCUCUCUUCAAUAUCAUAACUCACUUUUCUUUCUCAUGGAUUUCAAUUCUUCUCUCAUCAGCUCUCUCUCAUCCUCUCUGAUAUCUUCACCACCACCAACACCUUCGCUGCCGUCACUUUCUUUCUCAUUGAUUUCAUUAAGUUAUCUUCUCAAUUAAAUCCUCCACUAGGUAACAAUUUUUUUUUCUCUCUUUGUUUUCACUUUGUUACAAAUUAACUUACAUUGAGUUUAGUUUUUUUGUCACAGAUUCACUUCCAUUGUAAAUCUUCAGGUAACAGAUAAUUUAGGAUUCGUCAAUCUGUAAGUAAUCCCUUUUUAUCUUUUAUAUGGUUUCUCUAAUUUAUGGAUUACAUUCAUCUCAUGUUUUGAAUUUUUUUAUUCAUCCCCUGUGUUAUUACAUUGUUUGUUCUUUAAUUCAUAUUGUUUCUAUUUUAUUGAUAAAUUUGGAAUACAAUGAUUUUCAUGAUUAUUAUUUGUAUAUUUGGAUUCAGAAGUCACAAAACCUUAUGAAGAUACUUUUGUAUGGAUUUGAUGUAUAAGCAUGAAGGUUUCUUCAACUUCUUCAUAUAGAAAGGUUUCAACUUGCUUCUCAAUCACUUCCUUAUUUCAUCAUUUGAUUUCAUAUUCUGAUUUUUUGUUUUGGAAUGUUAUUGUUUGUUCAGGUUCCAAUAUUAGGGUUUGAUUAAGUAAGUUUUAUGAACUUUAAUUGAUUGUAUUUGAGUAGUAUUUAGCUGAUGUUUAUUGUUUGAGUAGUUAUGUUUUUGUUUUAAUUUUCGAUUCAGAAUUCAAUAUUAUUAGAAAGUUUAUCAAAUUCAGAAUUUAGGUACUUUGUAAGCAUUAACUAUACCAUGCAGAAUGUAAACAUAUAGGUACUUUGUAAACAUAGCCUUGUGAUUAAGUUUCUCUACUAUAGGGUUUAUCAUCUAUAAAUACCUAAUAAUCUGUUAAAGUUUACACCAAAAUAUGGUAUUUCAAUCACCCUACAUCUCUGGAAAAAAAAAAUCAUAUUAUUACUUUGUUUUGUUCUUUUCUUAAUUUCUUUUAUUUCUUUUUUGUAGUUGGGAGGUUGAAAGAAAGGAUUAGGAAGUAGAAAUACAAUUUGGAACCCACUUAUGUGUUUGGAAAAAGAAUGGAUGUUGAGGUGUGCUUUAGGCCUUUGUAGUUGGCUUUAUUUGUGUUUUGUUGUCUUGGUGUUGUUAUGAGUUUUUCCUUUUUCUCUGUCAUGUGCUUUUUAAGUUUUACCAAUCCCACUUAUGUUGUUUGCCUCAAACAAUUUUUGUUUCUAGCCAAAUUUGCAACCCAUGUUUCUUCUUCCAUGAAAUUUUUAUGUUAUUUCUCAAAUAUUUAAUACAUGAAUCAAUGUUCAAUAACACAAAAGUUUGAUGAAGAUUUAUUUGAAAAAAUGAGAUUCACAUGAUCAAAAGCAAUGAUUCAAUAUAUUUGUGUUUUGUUCUUUUUGUUUUCUAUGAUUCACAUGUUUUAUAUCCUUCACUUUACUUGGAUCAAUAGCAGUCCAUAACAUCUUGAUUCCAAGAUUUUGAUAUUUGAGAAAUAUUGUAGAGUAAAUUCACGAGCAAAAAAUAAAAAAAAAUAUUAGAUUUACUGAAUUUUUAUUGUUCAAAAUGUAUCUUUUUGUUCUGUUUUUGGAUUUUGCCCCCUACCACGCUUUAUAGUAUUGAGAGAUUGCAUGACAAGGUGACAUAGUUCUUAAUCAUGGUUUUGUCAUUAUAUAUAAAUAUUAGUUGGUGGAUAAUAUGCUUUCUUAAUCUACAAGUAUUUGUUGAUUCGAUUUGUUCCCCUUCACUUAACAGAGUUAUUGCCUAGGGCAUGAAUGGGGAGAAAAGAAAGUUAAGAGUCAUGCACAUACAUAAUCCUUGCUUUGGACCUAUUGGUGUUGGUCAGGUUGAGCUUCAUUUUCUUUUUAUUCGUUGAAGGGACAUUUCAUGGUUAACAGUAGUUUAUUAAAAAAUGUUUUAGUGAAGCAUAUGUUAGAUAGACAUAGAAGUGUAAGAAAUCUGGUGAAAUUAAACAACUACUAUAGGCAUGUGCAUAACAUAUGCAUGGUUAUUAUUAUUUUUUAGCUUGGAUUGAGAAAAAAAACUCUUAAAGGCUUGAUGUAUUAUCCGGAUUGAACAACUACAAACACAAAUAAUCUUUUUUUUGGAGUCACACAAUAAAAGAUUCAGCUUGGUUUCCCAAUGCCUAUUUCAAAAAAAAGAUUAAAUUGAUAUCUUCACCACACAAACCUAUAAUUACAUGACAUUAUUAAGCCUUUUAUUUAUUUUUUAAUUGUAAUCAGGUUAAAAAAAUUCUGAUUUUAUUUUUCUUUUGCAGUCACGCAAUAAUGAAGAGGUUUGGUUUUUUUCUCUUUUUUCACAUGUGCAUAGACAUUAGCCAUUAACUAACUAGGAAUAGUGACUGUUAGUUUGAUUUAAUCUAUUAAGAUAUGUCUUAUUAGUAGGAAAUUUUAGUUAGUGCUUCAUUUGCAUGAACAAACCUUCCUAUUAUUUUUUAACCAUAAACACAUAAGUUGAUAAUUUCAAAAUUAGCCUUUGUUGAUAUAUAGCACCUUAUUGAAAAGGAACUAAUAUGCAUCAACUCUGUUUUGGAGGUUGUGGUUUAAUUUCAUGCCUUGAGUACUUUGUCCGUUAAAAUAAUUUGUAUAUAUAUGGUAUGAUUUGCACCAGUGUAUCUUAUAAUAAGAUUUGAACCAUGUCUUUCAUAAACUUGAUUACGGUUCCUUUUGCAGGUUCUACUAACCGAAAUUAAUUCAAGGUUUUUCAUUUUACUUGAUAAGAGACUUUUGGUUGUGGAAAAAGGCUUUGCUACACCGCUGCUACAAAUAUAAGCAACAACAGCAGAAGUGAGAGAUGAUGGAGUUUGAAUGGUCACAUUUAGGUAAGUUGAACUUUUUUUGGCUUUGUCCGUUUAUGUUAACCUCAAACAGUCACAAAGAUGAACAUUUGAAUUCACAUGGUUCAAGAAAACUCAUUGAUUUCUCUGUAUGACUUAUCUGUUAAUUGAAUCUUUGGAAUGGUUCUUGAAUUAAUUCGGAGGUUAAUGAGUAAUGGAAUUUACAGGCGGGGUAGAAUCUUUUACCUAAAUAAAGGAAUAUAUUUAUCACACUAUAAGUCACACUAACUAAAUGAAUAUAUUUAAUCGAUGUUGGUGCCUUUAUCACAUAAAUCAUUCUCCUCCAUUUGCUACAUUUCAUUUUUCUCUUCAAUUUUUUGUUUGUGGUCCUUUUGUCACACUAUAAGUGGAUCGCUUUUAGUUUGGUAUUUUUAUUUUUAUUUACAUAGAAGGAAUUAUUGUAAUUCUUUGAAUUUCUUACUAUAGCGAGUUAGUGAGGUGCAUAGCUUGAUUGUAUUUGAAAACUCCUCAUUAGACGUUGAAGUUAAUAUCACUUUAAGUCAUUUACAGCCACUUCAAAUCUGGUUUUGUGCACACAUAACUGAUUUUGUUUUAUACCUGGCAGAGAAUUCUAUGGAGAUCGAAACUUAAAUGAGAAACAAGUUGAGAUUCUUAGAAUUACAUCAUUAUCAUUUUCAGAGGUAACCCUUAUUUCUUUCUAUUUUCUUUCACUUCAUUAUUUAUAAAAAUAAAGUAACUACUGUGUUGUCAAGGAUUUGCAUUCUCCAAACUUCAUGUACAGUAUUAUAAAAGAAUAACACAUUAGACUCUCAAUGCAUUUCUACUCAUACUGUACUCAUUUAUAUUGUAUCAGAUUAGAUAAUGCAAUGAUAUAUUUCUAUUUUGCUACAUUAGGCUUUCAUGAGUCUUUUGUAACUUAAAAUUGCAGCCUUUAUUUUUGUUUUAAAUAUGACUAGCCAUUUGUUGUUGAGAAAUUUUCAUAAAGAAAUAAGUUAAGAAUGCAAAUUGAUUUUAAGGUAUACUUUGGUCCAGUUCUAUGUAGCAUGUUUUGAAUAAGAAUUUAUGCUUAGGAAUUUAUACUAAUCUUUUUCCACUAUGUUCAUUCUCUAAAGUUUGUAGACAAUGUUUUGUUCCUUUACUUUCGCAACUUUCAUUUGUUAAUUGACUAUUUGAUCUGCAUAUAUUUUGAUGAUAACAUAUGAUUUCAAAUCCUAUAUGCUCUAAGUAAAAAAGGCUUAAAUCUGCUCAUUUCCAGUUUGCAAUAUCAUUUUGUUUUGGUUGUUUAACCAUGUUUUAAUUUCGAGUUUGUGUCUGAACUAACAUAAGUAGUACGAUGUUUUGGGAGUUAUUUUGAUGAUUGCCUUUUUCUGCUGUUUUUGACCAAAUUUUACAGAGCAUAUCAUACAGAAAAGAUUAGAAAGGAAAGAGCAAGAAGAUUAGCUAAAGUCUGAGUGCAACUAGGAUAGAUACAAUUUGUAAUAAAUAUAAAACCCUUAAAUAUUGAAUAGAAUCACUUCAUUCCUACAUGUACGUAUGUUAGUUGUAGUAAUACCCUUAAAUUUGUAAUAAAUAUAAUACCCUUAAAUAUUGUUCAUUAAUAGUAUGUAACCUUAGUUGUAGUAAUAAUUUCAUUCUAUUUCUUAACAAGUAUAUUGAAGAAUAUUUAAAGAAGUACAUUUCCAUUUCUAUUAUCUAAGCUUAAUUUCUGCACAAAAUAUUUGAGAAUUACUGUCUCUCAUACCACAUUCUCACCAAAAGAACAUGUUAAUAUGUGAGAAAGACAUACAAGUACUGACGUUUUUCUUUUCUUUUUUGUAGUGUAGUGUAGGAUUACAAGUAUAUUAUCUUUUAAUGGAUAUAGAUAUAACUUAUAAGUCUACCAAUAUAAAAAUACUAAGAAAAUGAGGUAAGUGAAGCAUAGUUUUGUCUUCAUUUUUAAUUAUUUUUUUCUGAAAUUAAUGGAUUAGUUAUACAUCCAGUUAUAUGUAAAAGUUAGCAUAUUUCUAUUUUGAAAAAAUUUAUUUGGCAUAAUGUAAACAUUCACUUUGAAAAGGAACAAAGAGUAGUAGGCAAUAAGCACCUUGAUUUGAAAUGAAGAAAACAAAAGGAAAGACCAUUAAUAGUUAAAAAUUUUGUCACUCUUUAUUGCUCAAUUCUUACAACACGCUCCCUUUUGGCACUCCCCGUGAAAUGUCAAUAUUAUAUAGGGAUUGAAUUUCAAGUUUUCCCUUCUAUGAAAACAAUUUUAUAUAGAAUAAAUUGUAGGUUUUCAAAGUGAAAAUUUAUUGACACAAAACACGGGAAGUGUCUCAUAUGGAUGCCAUAUGGAAGGAAUUUCAAGUUAUCCUAAUCUAUGGAAAUAAUUUUGUAUAGAAGAAAUUGUAGGUUUUAAAAGUGGAAGUUUAUUGACACAAAACACGGGGAGUGUCCCAUAUGAAUGCUAAAGAGAAUGAAUUUCAACUUAUCUCAAUCUAUGGAAACAAUUUUGUAUAGAAGAAAUUGUAGGUUUUAAAAGUGACAGUUUAUUGACACAAAAUACGGGGAGUGUCCCAUAUGGAUGUGAAGGGAAGGAAUAUCAAGUUAUCGCAAUCUAUGGAAACAAUUUUAUAUAGAAGAAAUUGUAGGUUUUAAAAGUGAAAGUUUAUUUACACAAAACACAUGGAGUGUCUCAUAUGGAUGCUGAAGAAAUGAAUUUCAAGUUAUCUCAAUCUAUGGAAACAAUUUUAUAUAGAAGAAAUUGUAGGUUUUAAAAGUAAAAGUUUAUUUACACAAAACACAUGGAGUGUCUCAUAUGGAUAAUGAAAAAAUGAAUUUCAAGUUAUCUCAAUCUAUGGAAACAAUUUUGUAUAGAAGAAAUUGUAGGUUUUAAAAGUGAAAAUUUAUUGACACAAAACAUGGGGAGUGUCUCAUAUGAAUGCUGAAGGGAAGAAAUUUCAAGUUAUCCCAAUCUAUGAAAAUAAUUUUGUAUAGAAGAAAUUGUAGGUUUUAAAAAUGGAAGUUGUUUGUUUGUUGGUUUAUGUUUUAAGUAUAACAACAAUUAUAUUAUUAUUAUAUGUCCUUAUUAUAUAGUUGUGUUAUGUUAACAAUCAAUUGUCUAUGUGUUGUAUUUAAUCAGAUAAUACAAUCGCCCUCGCCCAUGCGUUGCAUGGUUCCUAACUAGAAUAAAUUGUAGGUUUUAAAAGUGAAAGUUUACUGACACAAAACACGGGGAGUGUCCCAUAUGGAUGCUGAAGGGAAUGAAUUUCAAGUUAUCUCAAUCUAUGGAAACGAUUUUGUAUAGAAUAAAUUGUAGGUUUUAAAAGUGAAAGUUUAUUGACACAAAACACGGGGAGUGUCCCAUAUGGAUGCUGAAGGGAAUGAAUUUCAAGUUAUCUCAAUCUAUGGAAACAAUUUUGUAUAGAAAAAAUUGUAGGUUUUUAAAGUGACAGUUUAUUGACACAAAAUACGGGGAGUGUCUCAUAUGGAUGCUGAAGGGAAGGAAUUUCAAGUUAUCUCAACCUAUGGAAACAACUUUAUAUAGAAGAAAUUGUAGGUUUUAAAAGUGGAAGUUGUUUGUUUGUUGGUUUAUGUUCUAAGUAUAACAACAAUUAUAUUAUUACAUGUCUUUAUUAUAUGGUUGUGUCAUGUUAACAACCAAUUAUCUAAUUGCUGUAUUUAAUCAGAUAAUACAAUCGUCAUCGCCCGUGCGUUGCACGGGUUCCUAACUAGUUCUUCACAUAUAAGCACCUAUUUCGACCCAAAAUUCAUUACCAAUAUAUACUAUGAUCAUACAUACUUAAAAUCACUUAAAAACAACUUAAUCAUCAUGUAUAAUCACUUAUUUUAUGGAUUUAAGCUCAAAAUCACAAAUCCAAUUGAAAUCAUCAUACAACAACAUCAAACAUCAAAGUGAGUAUUUUUAUCAUAUUAAAACACUCAAUAAUCAUGAUAGAACAAGUAGAAUCAUGAAUUAACACACAAAAGUUUUUAAUAAAUACAUUCCCAAAUCCCACAUACAAACCCCCAAUUGAGAUGGUGAGAGUUUGGACUAGAGAAAAUGAUUUUCUCUCCUCUCAUAAAUUCAUCUCCAAUAAUUAUGUUACUAUCCUCUUACCUUAGCUAUGAUGGAUUCUUUAGUCUUUUUCUUCAAUCCCUAAGCUUUUGUUCUUCCUCUCUUGGUUUUUCUUUCAAUCUCACGUUCUUCUUUU